UACGUAGGGAGCAAGCGUUUCUAGGAUUUACUGGGCGUAAAGGGCGCGUAGGCGGCGCGGUAAGUCACUUGUGAAGUCUCUGAGCUUAACUCAGAACUGCCAAGUGAUACUGCUGUGCUAGAGUGCGGACGAGGCAACCGGAAUUCUUGGUGUAGCGGUGAAAUGCGUAGAUAUCAAGAGGAACACCUGAGGCGAAGGCGGGUUGCUGGGCCGACACUGACGCAGAUGCGCGAAAGCGAGGGGAGCAAACGGG
rnacentral:rRNA from 1 species